rnacentral:rRNA from 1 species
AUGCAAAGAACUUUGAAAAGAGAGUUAAAGAGUACCUGAAAUUGCUGAAAGGGAAGCGAAGGAAACCAGUGCUUGGCUUGGUCAUAUUUCUCGAAUCGCUUGCGGUUUGGGCGCUGUGUCGUUGCCUUUGUCAUUUUUGCUUGUUCUCGGCGGAAACGUGUGUUCGGGAGGUAGCGCUUGCGUGAUACCGUUCACAUUAUUGCUGGGUUUGAGUGAGGCUGACGAAAUGGUUUUCUUUACCCCGUCUAGAAACACGGACCAAGGAGUCUAACAUAUGUGCGAGUACAGGGGUGGCAAACCCCCGUGCGCAAUGAAAGUGACAGUGGUUGGACCUUUUGGGCACAAUCCGCCGGCCUCAAUCCUUCGGGAGAACGGUCUGAGUGUGAGCAUACAUGUUGGGACCCGAAAGAUGGUGAACUAUGCCUGAAUAGGGUGAAGCCAGGGGAAACUCUGGUGGAGGCUCGUAGCGAUUCUGACGUGCAAAUCGAUCGUCAAAUUUGGGUAUAGGGGCGAAAGACUAAUCGAACCAUCUAGUAGCUGGUUCCCUCCGAAAUUUCCCUCAGGAUAGCUGCGAUCGAAUGUCAAUUUUAUCA